rnacentral:lncRNA from 1 species
ACUGAAGAGCAGGUUCUCGAAUCACCAACUCACCGCAAAUCCCGAACUAGCCAUCAAUAAAAUAAACAUUAGGCCAAGCAUACAUCCACUUAUCGGGCCAAGGCCAAAGUCCAAAUCUUAUACAAAGUCCAAUAUUGGCCCAAUUUACCAAAUUGGGCCCACCUCACCAAAUGGGCCUAGAUCCAAGGUCCAUAACAAUAAUUGGGCCCACAACACUCUAUCCAUAAUUUCCAAACUUGGCCCAUAAACCAACUACCCACAAACGGCCCAAACUCUAAGGCCCAAUAUUAAGGUCUAAUCAGGGGGAGUACGAUGGGCGUACCCUCCUUGGUACGCGGGGCGUACACAUAAAAACGCGGCUGAGGAUCGGGCCCAUGACCCGCUACGCGGGGCGUAACUUCGUUACUCAUAAAGUCCUUAUAACCUCUUAAUGGCUUAAUCUCUUAAGCCCAAACUUCAAAUCCCUAGGCUAAAUACCCCUAAGAUUCAUAAAGUCUCAAACUUUAUCACUUGGGACGUCCAAAAGCUCUUAAUCUAAGGUCUUAAUCCAUUAAGACCUAUAUAUCUCAUACAUGGAACAACUACAGCCCUUGGGACCUCAUUUUUCUCACUCAAGACCUCUCCAAAUGUCUGAAAGGACAGAUAAUCUCGGCCAACACAAAACAUGAAUCAAGAUGAGAACUUUGGGACAAGAAAGAUGCUAAAACUUCACAAUACUUACAUCCAUGCAAAAUAAAUGGUAAGCAAGAAGCUUUAUACCUCAAAUAAGCUCUAAAGGAUGAUAUCUCUUCAGAUCUACAAGCUCAAAUUGUUCCUUUCCUUCUUUGACAACUUCUCCUUUCUUCUUCUAGCUUUUCUUUUGCCAAAAUGAGCUUUCCAAGGCCAAACACACCCAACAAUGGAGGGAAUACGAUUUUCGAGGGUUUCUGAGGUUAAGGGUGAGCUUAAGGAGGCUAGGGUAUGAAGCAACAUGUUCCUUAUAUAGUGGCUGACCCUAAUUUUAGGUUUUUAGAACUCUGAGAGUACGCUGGGCAUACUCAACCUUGCACCCGCGUCCAUAUACGCCUUACGUUGGGCAUAAUCCCAGCUUACGCUGGGCGUACUCGGCGAGUCCCCAAAUUUCAUACUUCCCCCUCCUUUUCUACUUUUCACCCAAGAUGACCAAAAUAUCAUUUCUCUUAAAUCCCGGGGACUCACAAUUAGGUACUCUUAGGAACGGGGCGUUACAAUUCUCCCCCACUUAAAUUAGGCUUCGCCCUCGAAGCCUUCGGCACCUCUACUCCAGAACUUCUCCCGCCACGCACCACCUGGCAUUAACCCAACCAGGUUCCUCAAGACGCAACCAUCGAAACCCGAAACUCAUUUUCUCCUUUCUAGCGGUGUCCUGACUACCGCCUCAAGUCGGCCACCGGCUUCACCCUCUGAUAACCACACCUAUCAAGAUCCACGCUUAUCAACCGAGUACCACUCCAUGGCACUUCCUCGAUUCUGAUCACAACAAUCUCUUGGCUCUUACGAGCUAAAUAUAACUCUAAACCACCGGGUUCCCGAUCCGAUUCCAACUCUAUCCAUCCCCAUGCUGACAGAAUAACACAUUCUUCAGCCUCAGAGCAACUCCCAUGAGUUCUCCUCUUGCAAUCGCAUGCACAUGCUGAACUAGCUCUAGUACCCUCGGAAUGGAAAAACCCACCACACUAAUGACACCCCCAAACAUCCCCCAGGAUGAAUCACCACUACAUACACAAUUCCUCGAUCAGAAUCAAACUGGAAAUCCAAGACUCCCUCCCAGCAUCCUUUCCGAGCCUCUUGGCUCUACCCUCGCGGAAAUCCUUCCGCAACCUCAACAGACAUCCCAUCCGGAUGUGAUUCCAUACCACUGCCGCAAUCAUGUUGCUCAAAGACCCUAAUUGGAUCACUCCAAUCACUACUCUGCGCUGCUGCUUUCACUUCCGUGAACUUACACUCCCUCUCGGAACUAUAUUCUUCUCUUUUUCCCUACCAAGGGAAUCCACUUGGCCGCCUUGUCACUGCGACAAGUGCCACGGUUCUCGCCCGAUGCUACACCACUCCCUUAUAGCAUAACCGCUAUCCAUGCAACACACAUGCUCUAAAUCUGCUCGCAAGGACUCUCGAGUCCAUGCACCAUCUCCACAAAUCGAGAUCAAUACCCGGGUCCAGACCUACCAAUGCUAACAUAUCGCGACAUAGUCAAUCCAUUUCCUCGAACCGAUCUAACAAUACCUGCAGAGUCUUCAGCAUGACUGGACCGCCUUACCAGGCGUUCAGCCAAUCUGGACCACUCUCAGAACCUUCAGCCAAUCUAGGCCGCCCUCCAGGGCCUUCAGCCUGGCUGGGCCGUUCUCCGAGCCUUCGGCCUGACUGGUACGCCUACCGGCCUUCAGUCUAUCCGGACCGCUCAACUAGCAUUCAUCACUCCGAGUUAUCUCUCCGGGAAAUCCUCCCAUGCAUACCUUUCUAGCCCUCUAGGGGUUCCGAACUCUAUCUACAUCAUACAAACUCGAUCUCGGCCUGAUCCCACGCCCUCCGCAAUCAAAUACCCUUGGUCUGUAUCCCGCCCCGCAUGCUUGUCACUUAGUCAUACUAGCCUACGCUCUUGGCUGACAGAAUACUGCUGAAUCCCAAACAGCUAAACAACCUCACAUGCUCAUCGAUCUUCCGGAGAAUUUUCCAAUUCCCCCCCCACUUAGGGCACUGACUAUCAACCACCGGUCGCUAUCACCGACCUCCCAAAACAACCCUGCACAAAACAAACACUUACACGCGGACUGAUUCCCACUAGCACUAAGAACCUUCACAAAAUCACAUAUCAACACUGAUCGACCCGAGCUCAAAAGAACCUCAAUCUGUAGCUAACCACUCCUCAGAAUGCAGAUGCUACCCGACAUUUAGACCAACUCCAGAUUUCCACUAAUAACCCCCAUGAAAGAUAACCAACGAAAUUCCCAACACUAACCCAUAACCAAUCCAUAACCCUCAAAGAACAACGAAUACCGCACCGAAAACCACACAAUGAGACUAGCAGAUAAACAAGACAUCAAGAAAAAAACAUACCUGCGGCUGCAUCCGGCACUGCUCUGACCUCCUCUGCUGCAAGCUGAAAAGCACGACCCUGAGCCCUUGGGGGCUCCGCUCCACCCUGACCUCCACCCGUGAUCCUCAAAGUGGCCGGUGCUGGAGCCUGCACCGGUCCUGCAGCGAGCUGUGGACAGUUGACCCUCAAAUGUCCAACCUGAUGACAAUGAUAACAAAUCCUCAAAUCCCGAACCGGCGCUGACUGUCGACAAUCCCUCGCAUAGUGCCCCUCCUUUCCGCACUUGCGGCAUGCUCCACCGGACCUACAAACUCCGGUGUGACUCCUCCCACACUUCCCACAAGUGUGGCUACUCAGAUCUCCCACUCUAGAAUCAACGGUCUUGGACCGUUUUGGCGCCGGCUGCGAUUGCACCGGAGCCUGGCUCAGCUCACGCAACUGCAACUCAAACUCUAUCUCAUGCCGCCUGGCGGCCUCCUGCAACUCCAACAAAGUCUCGCACCUCUGCAUAGACACAAACUGUCUGAUAUCCCUCUUGAGCAUGCUCAGAUAUCGAGACAUCUGAGCCUGCUCCGAAGCGAACUCAGGGCAGAACAUCGCCCUCUCUGUGAACAUCCUGGUGAUCUCAGUCACCGACUCCGAACCCUGCUUCAGCUCAAGGAACUCCUGAGCCAAUCUCUCUCUCUCAACUCGCGGAACAUAACGAGUGCUGAACAUCUCUCUGAACUGAUCCCAUGAAACCGCAGCCCUCUGCGCAUCCGAAUAUGACCCCGUGGUCAAUCUCCACCAAUCCUUCGCCCCGAGCCUCAACAGGUUCAGAGCACACCUCACCCUCUGAUCAGCAGGGCAUGAACAUGUGAAGAAACACCCCUCCACGUCCGAUAACCAUCUCAUAGCAACAAUCGGGUCCUGAACUCCAUUAAGGGUAGGAGGCUUCGUAUUAUCGAAGUCCCGAUACUGAAAACCCCGACCAGCUCCUCCCCCUGCUGCUGCUACACCCGCUGUAGCUGCCGCGGCAUCCGUCUCUGUGAGAUAUGCAUAGCGCUUCUCAAAAUACUCAACCAUGGUGGUCUUGAUCGACCCAAACAGUUCUGGCAACUCAGCCCGGAACAACGCAACAAUCUCAUCACGCAGGAUCUCACGAAUCCUCGCAUCCAACUCGCAUGUGCUCAUCUGACCAAUAACCUCGGGUGGUACUGACCCGCCCAGAACUCCCUCUCCUACUCCCGAUCCUGACUCGGAUCCACUUCCAGCAUUCCUCGGAAUCUCCAUACUGAAAACACCACAAAAUCACAGAUUCUUCCCACUAUCCCGGGAACCAACUCUCAAUCCAACUCUAGAGGUCAUGGUUUCCCUGAUACGCGUAUGGGUCCUAUGCUUUCAGUAGUACGGGCCCAUACUACCAUCCACACCUACCCAUAUUUGUAUGAAGUACUACCACAACACCCUAGUGAAAACAUACAUAACAAACGCUCAACCCUCACUACUAGAGGAACACUGGAAAUCUCCCACAAGGAAACCCUAGGCUAACAGGCAUCAAAAAUCAGGCAACAUUAUCAUGAAAUCCUGAAGAUCCCUAGCCUAGCACUAGCAUGCUGUUCUAUCAAAGCUCAAAAACAAAUAUCAUGUAUGGUAUUUUGGGGUUACUUACUGGCUCUGGCUGAUCGUACCUCCGCGUCCUCCUUUACUCAUUUUGAAAACCAUUUUAAAUUCUCUUUUGAAAACUCUCCUCGAUUUGAGACUGGAGUCACACGAGUGUUCCUCCAAUUCACUCAAACCAAGGCUCUGAUACCAACUUGUAACGACCGAAAAAUUCCAACCAAUUUAAACUUUUCAAAAACAACCCGAUUUCAUUAAAUUAUUACAAAAAGGUUUUCAAUACAAUUUAUUUAGAGUAUUCCCAGAAUCACAUCACAACAUAAACAUGAGGAGCGGUACGAUCACGCCUUCGCCUUGCCACGGUCUCCUGAAGAACCUGAAAAACAUUAAACCACAACUGUAAGCCCGAAAGCUUAGUGAGAUAUCCCCAAAAUACCAACCACAUAUACCAUACACGCAUAACAUGCCAUAUCAUAUCCGAUCACAGAACAGCCAUGCACUUCGGGUCUACUGUGUGACUGGUCCGCCGCACCGGCCAACAGUCCACCUGGUCCACCCUCCGAGUCUAUCCACAUACAUCGAGUCUGCAGUGUGAUUGGUCCGCCCGUUCCCGGGCCUUCAAUCCACCUGGUCCACUCUCUGAGUCUACAGUAUGACUGGUCCGCCCGCACCGGGCCUUCAGUCGGCCUGGUCCACUCUCCGAGCCUCGGCACGUCUGGUCCGCCCUCUUGGGGCCUACAGCCUAUCCGGACCGCUCGCUGGGCCUUCGGGACAACCGGUCCGCCCUGGGUAUCUUGGCCUACAGCACAAAGCAGGACCCGCCUCAACCCAACUCCAGUCCAAACAACCAUGUGCACAUAAACAUACAAUCAUAUAAGAAUUCACAGUCAACAAGCCGAUCAAACAGAUCACAUAACAUAUCAUCAUCCUAACCAGGAUACCGACCUAACCGGUCACUAGCAUAGCAUCACCCUACAUAUCAGGGAACCGACCUUAACCAGGUCUCUAACAUAUACCAUCCUAGCUACCAGGAUGCAAACAUAUCAAAGCAAUAACAUAACAACAAAUACCCGGAUCUCAAUCCGAUAAAGGGCCAACCUUGGUGCCUUAGACCCUAUCGAUAUAGUGAGAAUAACUCACCUCGCACUGCCAAAACUCUGAACUAAAGAGCAGGUUCUCGAAUCACCAACUCACCGCAAAUCCCGAACUAGCCAUCGACAAAAUAAACAUUAGGCCAAGCAUACAUCCACUUAUCGGGCCAAGGCCAAAGUCCAAAUCUUAUUCAAAGUCCAAUAUUGGCCCAAUUUACCAAAUUGGGCCCACCUCACCAAAUGGGCCUAGAUCCAAGGUCCAUAACAAUAAUUGGGCCCACAACACUCUAUCCAUAAUUUCCAGACUUGGCCCAUAAACCAACUACCCAC